rnacentral:tRNA from 1 species
UGCCUUGUAGCCAAGUGGUAAGGCAUCAGACUUUGACUCUGACAUGCGCUAGUUCGAAUCUAGCCAAGGCAGCCA